CCUACGGGAGGCAGCAGUAGGGAAUCUUUCACAAUGGGCGAAAGCCUGAUGGAGCAACGCCGCGUGCAGGAUGAAGGCCUUCGGGUUGUAAACUGCUUUUAUAAGCGAGAAAUAUGAUGGUAACUUAUGAAUAAGGAUCGGCUAACUACGUGCCAGCAGCCGCGGUCAUACGUAGGAUCCGAGCAUUAUCCGGAGUGACUGGGUGUAAAGAGUUGCGUAGGUGGCAUAAUAAGUAGCUAGUGAAAUCUGGUGGCUCAACCAUUCAGACUAUUAGCUAAACUGUUAAGCUCGAGACCGUUAGGGGUAACUGGAAUUUCUAGUGUAGGAGUGAAAUCCGUAGAUAUUAGAAGGAACACCAAUCGCGUAGGCAGGUUGCUGGGACGGUUCUGACACUAAGGCACGAAAGCGUAGGGAGCAAACGGGAUUCGAUACCCGUGUAGUC
rnacentral:rRNA from 1 species